ACGGUCAUACAGCCCCCCAGAAUGGACCCACUUUGGCUGGUACUAUGGCAAGCCAGCUACCAUCUGGUCCCUGGGCAUCCUGCUGCACCAGAUGGUCUGCGGGGAGCACCCUUUCAGGAGGGGCCAGAACAUCAGCUGGGACCAUCAGCUCUCGCUGCCACAACGGCUCUCUCCAGAAUGUCAAGAUCUGAUUGGGUGGUGUUUAUCCAUGCACUUCUUGGACCAACCCUCAUUAGAAGACCUGUUCUUUGAUCCUUGGAUGCAGGAUAUUCCUCUGCCGUAGAAGAAGGGAGAGAGCUACAGGGCCACUUUGAUCCAGGGCCCUGGGAAGGAGAAGGAGCCCCUGGAGAAGCUGUAGCAGGUGGGGAUGCUGCUGCUGCUGGAGACAGCGAGGAUGACAUCAAGGAUGACAACCUCUUCCUCAACCUGGCCACCGGCAGCUGAAG